rnacentral:rRNA from 1 species
GACGAACGCUGGCGGCGUGCUUAACACAUGCAAGUCGAACGAAGUGGCGAACGGGUGAGUAACGCGUAAUCUACCUGCCCUUCAGCGGGGGACAACAGUUGGAAACGACAGCUAAUACCGCAGAUUGAAGGAGGGGAUUGCGUCUGGUGAGCUAGUUGGUGGGGGAACGGCCCACCAAGGCGAGGAUCAGUAGCCGGUCUGAGGGGAUGAACGGCCAGAUUGGGAGUGAGACACGGCCCAGACUCCUACGGGAGGCAGCAGUGGGGAAUCUUCCGAAAUGGACGAAAGUCUGACGGAGCAACGCCGCGGGAGUGAUGACGGACUUCGGGUUGGAAAGCUCUGUUAAUCGGGACGCGGUACCUGAAUAGAAAGCCACGGCUAACUACGUGCCAGCAGCCGCGGUAAUAC